GUAGGUGGCAAGCGUUGUCCGGAAUUAUUGGGCGUAAAGCGCGCGCAGGCGGUCCUUUAAGUCUGAUGUGAAAGCCCACGGGCUCAACCGUGGAGGGUCAUUGGAAACUGGGGGACUUGAGUACAGAAGAGGAAAGCGGAAUUCCAAGUGUAGCGGUGAAAUGCGUAGAGAUUUGGAGGAACACCAGUGGCGAAGGCGGCUUUCUGGUCUGUAACUGACGCUGAGGCGCGAAAGCGUGGGGAGCAAACAGGAUUAGAUACCCUGGUAGUCCACGCCGUAAACGAUGAGUGCUAAGUGUUGGGGGGUUUCCGCCCCUUAGUGCUGCAGCUAACGCAUUAAGCACUCCGCCUGGGGAGUACGGCCGCAAAGGCUGA
rnacentral:rRNA from 1 species